CGGGGUGAGUAAUGUCUGGGAAACUGCCUGAUGGAGGGGGAUAACUACUGGAAACGGUAGCUAAUAUCGCAUAACGUCGCAAGACCAAAGAGGGGGACCUUCGGGUCUCUUGCCAUCGGAUGUGCCCAGAUGGGAUUAGCUAGUAGGUGGGGUAACGGCUCACCUAGGCGACGAUCCCUAGCUGGUCUGAGAGGAUGACCAGCCACACUGGAACUGAGACACGGUCCAG
rnacentral:rRNA from 1 species